rnacentral:rRNA from 1 species
GUGAGGAAUAUUGCGCAAUGGACGAAAGUCUGACGCAGCCAUGCCGCGUGAAGGAUUGACGGCCCUAUGGGUUGUAAACUUCUUUUGUAUAGGAAUAAACCCUCGUUCGUGAACGAGGCUGAAGGUACUAUAAGAAUAAGCACCGGCUAACUCCGUGCCAGCAGCCGCGGUAAUACGGAGGGUGCAAGCGUUAUCCGGAUUUAUUGGGUUUAAAGGGUCCGUAGGCGGAUCGUUAAGUCAGUGGUGAAAUCCUACCGCUCAACGGUAGAACUGCCAUUGAUACUGGCGAUCUUGAGUAUGUAUGAAGUUGGCGGAAUGUGUGGUGUAGCGGUGAAAUGCUUAGAUAUCACACAGAACACCGAUUGCGAAGGCAGCUGACUAAUACACAACUGACGCUGAGGGACGAAAGUGUGGGGAUCAAACAGGAUUAGAAACCCCGGUAGUCC